AUUCGUAUUUGACACUCGUUCAAAGAACUGAAUAAAUAACCUUAAUGUUUUGUAAAAAAUGAAUUGCUCGAACAAAUUAACGUCGCCUGACGUUCAUGGCUCAUUCCGGUGGAGGGGAUCAAAGAGUGUGUACGCUUGAGUGUUAUAUACAAUAAAAAUGUUUUCAAAAUAAGGAAAUUAUAGUUAAAAUAACAAUUCAAGGGACAAAAUUAUUUAUUUACAAAACUCUCUUAUAUAAUAUCAACUAUAAAAACCAUGUAGCGGCAAAGAUUGUUAAGAAGAAAAACGUUACAUGAAAUUUGCAUCAUUAUAUAAAUAUUAAAAAGUAUAUUAAAAUUGACAAUAUGGUUCAAACGAUAUUCGGUGUAUGGGACUACAUCAUAAUGGUUGCUACCAUUGUAGCAUCUAUAGUCAUAGGAGUCUACUUUAGAUUUAGUGGCGGGAAACAGAAAACGAACGAGGAAUAUCUUCUAGCUGAUAGAAAUAUGUCCAUAUUCCCGGUGGCUAUAUCGCUGAUGGCGUCGUUUAUGUCAGCCAUAACAUUGUUAGGGGUGUCAGCAGAAAAUUAUUAUUAUGGGAUGCAGUUCGUUGUCAUCAACAUAUCCUACGGCAUCGCCACCCCUAUAGCGUCCAAAUUAUACUUGCCAGUAUUCUUUAAUUUGCAGAAAACUAGUACUUAUGAGUAUUUAGAAUUGCGCUUCGGACCUCACGUGAGAAUGUUGGCUUCAUUGACCUAUACUUUACAAAUGGUUCUCUAUAACGGGAUAGUGUUGUAUGCGCCUGCGAUAGUUCUGGAAUCAGUGACGGGUCUCGAUAGACUGGUCUCUAUCUUGGUGGUAGGUUUAGUAUGCACGUUCUAUUCCACUUUGGGUGGUAUGAAGGCGGUGUUGUUCACGGACCUGCUGCAAUCCUUCCUGAUGUUUGCUGCCGUAUUCAGUGUCGUUAUAUUCGCGUCCAUUGAACUUGGCGGUUUUGAUAAAAUAUUCAUCAUAUCCAAAGAGGGUGGCAGAUUGGAUUUUUCGAACUUCAGCUUGGAUCCGACGGAGAGGCAUACUUGGUGGUCGUUGAUAAUCGGAGGACUGACCACGUAUCUGUCGCUGUAUGCUGUGAAUCACACACAGGUGCAGCGGCUUCUCACAGUGAGUUCUUUGGAGCGGUCUCAGCAGUGUCUGUGGUGGAGCUGGCCUGUGCUGUCUGUGCUAAGUUUAAUCACAUGUAUCAGCGGGCUCAGUAUUUACGCUGUGUUUCGUGAUUGUGAUCCAUGGAGUAUCAAAAGCAUCAGUGCUAUAGACCAGCUCAUGCCUUACUACGUGGUGAAAUCGAUGCAGUCCGUCCCGGGACUGGCGGGCCUCUUCGUCGCCGGUAUCUUCAGCGCGUCUCUGUCGACCAUAUCAGCGUCUUGUAACGCACUCGCCGCCGUCACACUCACCGAUUACGUUAGCAGAUGGUGCAAAAUAUCACAAUCGUACAUUCCAUGGUUGACGAAGUUGGCAGCUUGUGUUUAUGGCCUGGUUUUCCUUGCGUUGGCCUUUGUAGCAGAACACUUGGGCGGGGUUUUGCAAGCUGCCUUGACUAUUUUCGGGGCGGUUGGAGGACCUCUCCUGGGACUAUUCACUCUGGGCAUGUUUACUACUUGCGCUAAUGAGAGAGGCGCGUCGAUAGCCCUCCUGAGCGGUAUGGCUACGACUCUAUGGAUAAGUUUUGGUGGUCCGCGACCCGCGCCCGUCAAACUCCCUCUCAGUGUUGAAGGCUGUGCCAAUAACUUUACGUUACGUUACGUAGCAGAUACAGCCAAAGAGUAUUUCUAUUUAUACAGGGUGUCCUAUAUGUGGACGUGUCCGAUCGGUUUUGUGUGGGUGAUGGUGGUAGGUUCUGUGUUAUCGUUAUUAUGGAAGCAACAGCAACCUUGGCAGCGAGCGGGGCGGGCGGGGCCGGACCCUGCGCUGUUCACGCCGCCCCUCGCACAAAGGCUGGCACGACAGAAUCAAGAGAUGGGAUCGUCUUUUCCUCAAUGAUAACACACACGCUUCUUUGCACGAAAUAUGGAUUGUUUUUUAUUUCUUAUAAGAACCAACUCAUGAAAAACAUCGAAGAUUGACACUCCACUGACUGUUAUAUAUAUAUAUAUUGUAGUUCAUAAAAACGUAGACUUAUUUUAUUCGACUGUUAGCAAUAAAUGAAUAAGUCAAAAGAUUUUGAUACGCCGUUUAUAAUUUAUUAGCUGUAAAGUAUUGCUGAAGUGUAUCGAUUGAAAACAUUCCUAGAAUUCGAAUGAAAGAUAAUAAUUUAUAUAUAUUUUUACCGGACCGAGAAUGUAUUUUUUAUAUAUCGUUAUCUUAUUUUGAAAAAGCAGUAGAUAAUUUAAAUAAGUCUUAUUUUUUUUAUAUAAAACAUAUCUCCGACCCUGCUUAACUCAUUAUUCUAGAAAGACGUUCGAUUUAAAACUGUGAUAUCGCAAAUCGCAUCUUCCAAAACGCCUUCACGUAGUGGAGAUAGUACCUACUUAUAUAAAUUAGUACUUAAUUAUAACAUUUGAAUUGAAUAGUAUUAUUUUAGCUUCUCAAAUCAAAUAAAGAACGCGUCACUGCCAUUGCAAUCUUUGACACACACACACACACACAUAUAUGUGUGUGUAAAGAUUUGAUCGUCAAGCACUUGAUACCAACGCGCCAUUUUAUGUAUAGAUUAAUUCAAAAACACUAAAAUAAGCGCAUUCUAAGCAAAAGUUAUGACCUAUCCAGUAAAUAAUCUAGUACAUAUUCGACGUUACUCAAUUUUAGUUUUUAUUCCUCAAUAUAACACUGUGUUCUUUAUUUAAAAAUAUUUAAAUGAUUAUAGAUGUGCGGCGUGUAUAGAAAUGUUCUGAAGUAUAAUUCUGUGUAAUGCGACUGAGUGUUAACAAAACUCUGUUUAUAUUAUAGAAUAGUUUAUUGUUAUGAUGUAGUGUGUUUGUUAAUAAGAAGCUACGCGUU